GGAACUUCACCUUUAGAUUUGGACUUAGUAAAGCUAAGGUCAUUGACAUCGAAAUUAUUGAACGGUUAAACCUUCACAUUGAGACAUAAUACUAGACCUUUGGGUUACUAGUGACUGUUACCAUGUUAGAGACAUGAUGAUUGGAUACUUGAGGUUUUGACCAUGCUUGCUUGCCAUUUGUGCUCAUUCGCACAUGCUUGUAUGGGUCGCUCCCUACAAGCCGGCACUCCGGAGUUAGCCUACGCGACUUAUGUUCGCUCGUGCGGUAUCGAGUAGCCUACGCGGCCUGGAGGGUUAGACUCAUUCCUAGAGUGGGGAUGCUGGAGCUACCACUGGCACUUAGGCGGCACAAGCCGGACUACACCUGUGUAGAUCCUGAUUGAGAUUGAACCAGAAUAUUAAACAACAAGUUGACAUUCACUACUAGCUAGGUUAUAGUAGUUGGACUCUUAAUAUGCUAUGGUAUAGGGUUGGACAUUUGGGUA
rnacentral:lncRNA from 1 species